rnacentral:misc_RNA from 1 species
GAUGAAGAACGUAGCAAAAUGCGAUAAGUAAUGUGUAUUGCAGAAUUCAGUGAAUCAUCGAAUCUUUGAACGCACAUUGCGCCCGCCAGUAUUCUGGCGGGCAUGCCUGUUCGAGCGUCAUUUCAACCCUCAAGCACAGCUUGGUGUUGGGACUCGCGUUAAUUCGCGUUCCUCAAAUUGAUUGGCGGUCACGUCGAGCUUCCAUAGCGUAGUAGUAAAACCCUCGUUACUGGUAAUCGUCGCGGCCACGCCGUUAAACCCCAACUUCUGAAUGUUGACCUCGGAUCAGGUAGGAAUACCCGCUGAACUUAAGCAUAUCAAUAAGCGGAGGA